UACGGGGGGGGCAAGCGUUGUUCGGAAUUACUGGCGUAAAGGGCUCGUAGGCGGCCAACUAAGUCAGACGUGAAAUCCCUCGGCUUAACCGGGGAACUGCGUCUGAUACUGGAUGGCUUGAGGUUGGGAGAGGGAUGCGGAAUUCCAGGUGUAGCGGUGAAAUGCGUAGAUAUCUGGAGGAACACCGGUGGCGAAGGCGGCAUCCUGGACCAAUUCUGACGCUGAGGAGCGAAAGCCGGGGGAGCAAAAGCGGG
rnacentral:rRNA from 1 species